rnacentral:rRNA from 1 species
UAAUUUAAAGUCUUGCCUGCCCAAUGAUUAAUUUAAUGGCCGCAGUAUUUUGACUGUGCAAAGGUAGCAUAAUCAUUAGUUUUUUAAUUGAAAGCUGGAAUGAAUGGUUUGAUGAGAAAUAUACUGUCUCUUUAUAAAUUUUUUAGAAUUUUAAUUUUGAGUGAAAAAGCUUAAAUUUUAUAUAAAGACGAGAAGACCCUAUAGAGUUUUAUAGUAUAUUUAAUUGAUUUAAAUUGGUUUAUAAUUUUAUUUAUUAUUUUUACUAUUUUGUUGGGGUGAUGUAAAAAUUUAAUAAACUUUUUAUUUUUUUAUACAUUUAUUUAUGAUUAUUUGAUCCUUUAUUUUGGAUUAUAAGAUUAAAUUACCUUAGGGAUAACAGCGUAAUUUUUUUGGAAAGUUCUUAUUUAUAAAAAAGUUUGCGACCUCGAUGUUGGAUUAAAAUUUAUUUUUGGUGCAGAAGCUGAAAUAUUAGGUC